rnacentral:lncRNA from 1 species
AUGAUCUGGCUGGAUUUUGGUAAUCAGACGGAGUUUCGCUCUUGUUACCCAGGCUGGAGUGAAAUGGCGCGAUCUCGGCUCACUGCAACCUCCACCCCCUGGAUUCAAGCAAUUCUCCCGCCUCAGCCUCCUGAGUUGCUGGGAUUACAGGUACGCACCACCAUACCCAGCUAAUUUUUUGUAUUUUUAGUAGAGAUGGGGUUUCACCAUGUUGACCAGUAUGGUCUCGAUCUCUUGACCUAGUGAUCCACCUGCCUCGGCGUCCCAAAGUGCUGGGAUUACAGGCUUGAGCCACCGCGCCUGGCCCUCUACUCAAUUCUUAAACAAGAUCCUUGAGAUGUGUCUUGUCUGAAAGGUGUUUUUAUGUGAGGCCUCCUUUGGGUUUUGUUUUGAACCCCUACCUAUUACUGUGGAGAGCAGCAUCUCCAGGGCUCUGUGAUUGGUUUGGCUGCAUUUCUCCCUUGGCUACUAAGUGAUUAGCUCAUAACUGAUCAUGUUCAAAUUUGUCUCCUUAUUCACAAUGUAUUCAGUAGAGAGAGAGGGCUACUGGGUUAAAAACCAAAGGAUUUUUAACAUGAAGAGAAGCCUACAUGUUAUCUAACACAAUCUGUUCUCCAACACUGACCUCUUUCUGCCCAUACACAGGCACUGCUCUUGACAAGAAGCUCACUGCUUUACAAGGCAACGCUUCCCACUCUUACACAUCCAGUGUUCUAUCAUGUCUUUCUUAAUGGUUAAAUGAAAUCUAGCUCACUGCAAUUUUCACAUCUGUAUACUGCUUUUUCCCUCUGAGGUGCUAUGCAAAAAUAUUGAAUCAGUAUUCUCUGACAGUCAGUAUUUUGAGAUAUUUAACAAUAGAGAGCCUAAAUCCUUAUUACCCUUUCCCAGGCCAAUUAUCCAUCAUUUUUUCAACUAUUGGUCAACCGUCUUGGCUUCCCCCUUCCUACAGUCACCAAUAGAGUAACAGCUCAUGUCCCUUCUGAUCCACAUGACCUGGAACCAAAUGCAAUGUUCCCCCUGGGUCUGAAUAGACCAGAGCAUGCUGUAAGAGGAUGAUCA